rnacentral:sRNA from 1 species
CGCAUGAAUGUGACGCUCAUCACUUCAAACUUACCGGUUCAGACAGUAUCAUCAGACACGUUAAACCCUCGCUGCCAGACGGCGAGGGUUUUCUUUUGG